UCGAGAGGCUUCGGCAAUGGGGGAAACCCUGACCGAGCGACGCCGCGUGGGUGAUGAAGAUUCUCGGAUCGUAAAACCCUGUCAGGUGGGAUGAAAAACCAUUCGGUUAAUACCCGAGUGGCUUGACAGUACCACCAGAGGAAGCUCCGGCCAACUCCGUGCCAGCAGCCGCGGUAACACGGGGGGAGCAAGCGUUGUUCGGAUUCAUUGGGCGUAAAGAGCUCGUAGGCCGCUCUGUAAGUCGGAAGUGAAAGACCACGGCUCAACCGUGGAAACGCUUUCGAAACUGUGGAGCUUGAGGCCGGGAGAGGAGAUCGGAAUUCCUGGUGUAGCGGUGAAAUGCGUAGAUAUCAAGAGGAACACCUGAGGUGAAGACGGGUUGCUGGGCUGACACUGACGCUGAGGCGCGAAAGCCAGGGGAGCAGACGGGAUUAGAUACCCGAGUAGUCCCUGAGCGGGCUGGCAAGGCGCAU
rnacentral:rRNA from 1 species